UGGGGAAUAUUGGACAAUGGGCGCAAGCCUGAUCCAGCCAUGCCGCGUGUGUGAAGAAGGCCUUUUGGUUGUAAAGCACUUUAAGCGAGGAGGAGGCUACUUGGAUUAAUACUCUAGGAUAGUGGACGUUACUCGCAGAAUAAGCACCGGCUAACUCUGUGCCAGCAGCCGCGGUAAUACAGAGGGUGCGAGCGUUAAUCGGAUUUACUGGGCGUAAAGCGUGCGUAGGCGGCUUCUUAAGUCGGAUGUGAAAUCCCUGAGCUUAACUUAGGAAUUGCAUUCGAUACUGGGAAGCUAGAGUAUGGGAGAGGAUGGUAGAAUUCCAGGUGUAGCGGUGAAAUGCGUAGAGAUCUGGAGGAAUACCGAUGGCGAAGGCAGCCAUCUGGCCUAUUACUGACGCUGAGGUACGAAAGCAUGGGGAGCAAACAGG
rnacentral:rRNA from 1 species